rnacentral:rRNA from 1 species
UGUGUGAAGAAGGCCUUCGGGUUGUAAAGCACUUUUGUCCGGAAAGAAAACGNUCUGGUUAAUACCUGGGGCGGAUGACGGUACCGGAAGAAUAAGCACCGGCUAACUACGUGCCAGCAGCCGCGGUAAUACGUAGGGUGCGAGCGUUAAUCGGAAUUACUGGGCGUAAAGCGUGCGCAGGCGGUUUUGUAAGACAGGCGUGAAAUCCCCGAGCUCAACUUGGGAAUUGCGCUUGUGACUGCAAGGCUAGAGUAUGUCAGAGGGGGGUAGAAUUCCACGUGUAGCAGUGAAAUGCGUAGAGAUGUGGAGGAAUACCGAUGGCGAAGGCAGCCCCCUGGGACGUCACUGACGCUCAUGCACGAAAGCGUGGGGAGCAAACAGGAUUAGAUACCCUGGUAGUCCACGCCCUAAACGAUGUCAACUAGUUGUUGGGGAUUCAUUUCUUCAGUAACGUAGCUAACGCGUGAAGUUGACCGCCUGGGGAGUACGGUCGC